rnacentral:rRNA from 1 species
AGGACGAACGCUGGCGGCGUGCUUAACACAUGCAAGUCGAACGGUGAAGCCCUUUCGGGGGUGGAUCAGUGGCGAACGGGUGAGUAACACGUGAGCAACCUGCCCUUGACUCUGGGAUAACUUCGGGAAACCGGAGCUAAUACCGGAUAUGACACGCGGAGGCAUCCCCUGUGUGUGGAAAGAUUUAUUGGUCAAGGAUGGGCUCGCGGCCUAUCAGCUAGUUGGUGGGGUAAUGGCCUACCAAGGCGACGACGGGUA